rnacentral:rRNA from 1 species
GUCGCAAGACCAAAGUGGGGGACCUUCGGGCCUCAUGCCAUCAGAUGUGCCCAGAUGGGAUUAGCUAGUAGGUGGGGUAACGGCUCACCUAGGCGACGAUCCCUAGCUGGUCUGAGAGGAUGACCAGCCACACUGGAACUGAGACACGGUCCAGACUCCUACGGGAGGCAGCAGUGGGGAAUAUUGCACAAUGGGCGCAAGCCUGAUGCAGCCAUGCCGCGUGUGUGAAGAAGGCCUUCGGGUUGUAAAGCACUUUCAGCGGGGAGGAAGGCGUUAAGGUUAAUAACCU